GCCCGGAUAGCUCAGUCGGUAGAGCAUCAGACUUUUAUUCAAGUCCAGGGUUCGAGUCCCUGUUUGGGCG